rnacentral:misc_RNA from 1 species
GGAAGUAAAAGUCGUAACAAGGUUUCCGUAGGUGAACCUGCGGAAGGAUCAUUACCGAGUGAGGGCCCUCUGGGUCCAACCUCCCACCCGUGUUUAUUUUACCUUGUUGCUUCGGCGGGCCCGCCUUUGCUGGCCGCCGGGGGGCUCACGCCCCCGGGCCCGCGCCCGCCGAAGACACCCUCGAACUCUGUCUGAAGAUUGAAGUCUGAGUGAAAAUAUAAAUUAUUUAAAACUUUCAACAACGGAUCUCUUGGUUCCGGCAUCGAUGAAGAACGCAGCGAAAUGCGAUACGUAAUGUGAAUUGCAAAUUCAGUGAAUCAUCGAGUCUUUGAACGCACAUUGCGCCCCCUGGUAUUCCGGGGGGCAUGCCUGUCCGAGCGUCAUUGCUGCCCUCAAGCCCGGCUUGUGUGUUGGGCCCCGUCCUCCGAUUCCGGGGGACGGGCCCGAAAGGCAGCGGCGGCACCGCGUCCGGUCCUCGAGCGUAUGGGGCUUUGUCACCCGCUCUGUAGGCCCGGCCGGCGCUUGCCGAUCAACCCAAAUUUUUAUCCAGGUUGACCUCGGAUCAGGUAGGGAUACCCGCUGAACUUAAGCAUAUCAAUAAGCGGAGGA